rnacentral:lncRNA from 10 species
CCCUGUGAAGAAGGUGCCUUGCUUCCCCUUUGCCUUCCACCACAAUGCUAAGUUUCUUGAGGCCUCCCGAGACAUGCUGAACUGUGAGUCAGUCAACUAAGCCUCUUUCCUUUAUAAAUUACCCAGUUUCAGGCAAUUCUUUAUAGCAAUGUGAAAAUGGACUAAUAUACAACUGAAGUCAUUUGGUAAAAUAAGCUUCAAGAUUCCUCUUUUCAUCUCUCACUGAAGAAAUAUACCCCUUUUCAUAAGAAAAUCUACAAAGAGUAUUUAUAAGAAAUUGGUGCAUGGCUGUGCUUCAACUCCUCAGUGCAUGAUAUGAAAGAAAAUCAGAUGAGGUUGCAAGAAAUAAAUUUUGUGUUAGACAUCAGAGACCAUUUCUUGACAGGAAAAGUUGUUUGUGAUGUGUGCAGCAUGGUUUCUCAAGAUCUGGCUGUAUAAACAAUGGACAGGGCUGAGAACCAGGAAGUGCAGUGUCUCUGGGAUCUAUGCUUGAUGCCUCUAACUCUGCUUAGCACUGAGUAUGUAGGAUAGUCCCCAUGGAUUGACAACUCAUAUUAAACUGUAUAUGGAAGCACAAACAUUGAAGAAUAGCCAAACAUUCUUGAAGAAAAGAAACAAAUGGAGAGAACUUGUCCUUCAAAUAUCAUUUACUAUAAUAAAGCUGUAGUAAUUAAGAAGGCAUGGUUUUGGCACAGGGAUAAGCACUCAAACCAAUGAGAGAAAAUGGAAUUCUAAAAUAUGAAAAUUAUUCAAACGGGGCUGGCAUUCCUGAUUGAUGGAAAGCACAGACUAGUCAAUUAAUGCAAUAGUUGGUCAUUCAUAUGAGGAAAAAAUGAAAUUAGGUUAGCUUAUACCAUACAAAAUUCAAUCACAAAUGGAUUAAAAACCUAUAAACAAACAAAAAACUCUAUUAAAUAUUUAGAAGACACUAUGUGAGAAUAUUUUUAAAACUUGAGAUAAAUGAUUCCUUAAGGUACAAAACAGCAAAAAAUGACAACCUUUAUUAUAUAAAAAUUAAUUUGUGUUUUCCAGAAUCACAAAAAAGAAAAAAAGCAAGGUAAAA